AACGCGAAGAACCUUACCUGGGCUCGAACGGCUAGUCAACGAUCGUGGAAACACGGUUACUCCGCAAGGGGGUCUAGUCGAGGUGCUGCAUGGCUGUCGUCAGCUCGUGUCGUGAGAUGUUGGGUUAAGUCCCGCAACGAGCGCAACCCUUGUCCUGUGUUGCCAUGCCGAAAGGCGGAACUCGCAGGAGACCGCCAGCGAUAAGCUGGAGGAAGGUGGGGAUGACGUCAAGUCCUCAUGGCCUUUAUGUCCAGGGCUACACACGUGCUACAAUGGCCGGUACAAAGCGCUGCUAAGUCGCAAGACGGAGCCAAUCGCAGAAAACCGGUCUCAGUUCGGAUUGCAGGCUGCAACUCGCCUGCAUGAAGCUGGAAUCGCUAGUAAUGGCGGAUCAGAACGCCGCCGUGAAUACGUUCCCGGGCCUUGUA
rnacentral:rRNA from 1 species